UUCUCUGCCACCCCAAGGCCAACAGUCCCAGCCAAAGGCCCCCACUGCUCCUGAGCCCCUUCCCCCAAGCCCUGUUGGAAAUCACGCCCCUUGGGGAAAGGGAGGGUGACCCCUGAUGCCUUGUAGCUGAGAACUAUGCAUGUCAAAGGGCACAGCUGGCCGUGCAAGCACCCACUCUGGGAGCACUCCCCCAUGUAAGGGUCCAGUCUGGGCCAGCUUCCCUGAGAAACCAUGCUUCUCCCCCAGAUCACCAGCAUUUACAGACUAGGACAAUGCAGGUCGUGGAGGGGGAAAGGUCAGCCUGGGGGAUGCCCACCAAGUGGCCUAGGACAAGUGUCCCAGUCCCCGAGCCACAGGUUCCCAGAGGAUGGAGAUGCCCGGCCUCCAAGGUGGUUGUGAGGAGUAGGUGGGGUCGGGAGUAAAGGUGCUCUGGGACCCAGUCUCCAUAAACAGGAAGGGCCCUGAGAUGAGCUGGUGGCUGGUUCCUGCGAGGAAAACAGCUUCAGAGAAGAGAAGCAGAUUCUCUCCACCUGCUACAAACCAGCACACACUGGCAUGAGUCCUCAGUGAGCAAAUGUGUUAACGAGCCCCAAAGAGAGAGGCCUUGGGGUCUGCUGCUCGCUUGGGUCAAUUACUGUCCCUCCCUUGAGCAAAGGGGCUCAGAGGAGGGAGCGAGGACCAGUCAAGGCUUGGAUCCCACAGAACUGGGGUAGACUACAAAUUUGGCUGUUAAUUUCUUUUUUCCCAGUAGCUGCUAGGAAGCUAUCAUCAGACACAAAUUCUCUUAAACAAAAAGCAAACUUAUUUCUCAGGAAAAGCUUCCCUCUUCCUCACAGGGAAACCACUGCAGUGUACCCUGCAUGCUCUCAGAGUGAUGUGCAGGGAAUGGCACCCCAUUUAGAGGGGAGUGCGAUCAGGGUCCUACACCUUCACAACCACAGCUCAGGCAUGGCCCUGGAGAGAUGUGAGGCUAGCCCAGUGGCCCCUUCACAUCACCACCAAGCCCACAUUUGGCUGUGCACCGUGCAGGCUGCGGGCAUCCCCCAACAGCGGGGUGACAGAGGUAUUGGGGUGGGUGGCACCAUGCGCUCAAGAUUCACAGGACAUGGCACGCCUACCUGAUUGGCAUGGCAGUAAAUCGUCCUAUACAGCUUCUGUUUUUAAAAAUAAUUAUGAUACCAUAGAGUUCAAGUCAGGAACAGAACUGUAGGGUAAUACAGAUUGGUGGCCUUACCGUGGCCUGCUGUAACUGACCCUGUUUGAGCUCGGCCUUGGUUCUGUCACCUGGGAGAGCCAUGGGGCUUUGCUGUCAUGGGAUGGGAGUGGCAACACCCUGCCCCCACCCGGGCCCCGGCAUGCAGCCAGGUGCACACGGAGAUGAGAGCCCAGAGGGGCAGGCAGAACCUGGGGCUGUUGCCAGAGCACCCCGGUUUGUUGGCCCCUUCCCUGGUCCCCAGACGGGGAGGUUUUCUCCAAACCCAGCUGAAGAGUCUGUCUUUCCCACCCAUGCCCCAGGGCCCAGCCAGGCAGAGGCAGAGACUACUGGCUAAGAGUUAACUGGUCCAAGGUGGGGCAGACUCUUCUUCCACUUUCAACACAUCAAUGACCAAGGACAGGACAAGCUCCUCCAGGAACUGAGAGCCACCAGGGGCAGCAGUUGCUGGCGACAGCCGCCCUGCAGCCUGCCAGCCUGUGGGCAGGCAGGGAGCCGUGGCCAGCAUCCCACUGGCACCAGGUGAAGCUAAGGCACAGCACAGGCACCCACGGGUGUGAGCAAGUGUGACCAGACACUGCUUGCAGGGAACAAACUUGCAUUCAUUUCAUCUGCAUUUCAAUCUGCUCAAAACACUAUGUGCACUUUUUUU